GAUGAAGAACGCAGUGAAAUGCGAUAAGUAAUGUGAAUUGCAGAAUUCCGUGAAUCAUCGAAUCUUUGAACGCACAUUGCGCCCCCUGGCAUUCCGGGGGGCAUGCCUGUCCGAGCGUCAUUUCUGCCCUCAAGCACGGCUUGUGUGUUGGGUGUGGUCCCCCCGGGGACCUGCCCGAAAGGCAGCGGCGACGUCCGUCUGGUCCUCGAGCGUAUGGGGCUCUGUCACUCGCUCGGGAAGGACCUGCGGGGGUUGGUCACCACCAUGUUUUACCACGGUUGACCUCGGAUCAGGUAGGAGUUACCCGCUGAACUUAAGCAUAUCAAUAAGCGGAGGA
rnacentral:misc_RNA from 1 species